AUUGAACGCUGGCGGCAGGCUUAACACAUGCAAGUCGAACGAGUGGCGGACGGGUGAGUAAUGCUUGGGAAUCUAGCUUAUGGAGGGGGAUAACUACGGGAAACUGUAGCUAAUCCCGCGUACCAUAGGAUGAGCCCCAGGGGGAUUAGGUAGUUGGUGAGGUAAAGGCUCACCAAGCCGACGAUCGCUAGCUGUUCUGAGAGGAUGACCAGCCACACUGGGACUGAGACACGGCCCAGACUCCUACGGGAGGCAGCAGUGGGGAAUAUUGCACAAUGGGCGCAAGCCGUAUGCAGCCAUGCCGCGUGUAUGAAGAAGGCCUUCGGGUUGUAAAGUACUUUCAGUCGGGAGGCGUGACCGACAGAAGAAGCACCGGCUAACUCCGGGCCAGCAGCCGCGGUAAUAC
rnacentral:rRNA from 1 species